UACGUAGGGUGCGAGCGUUGCCCGGAUUUAUUGGGCGUAAAGGGCGCGCAGGCGGUACGGCACGUCCGUUGUGAAAUCGCUCGGCUCAACUGGGCGGGGGCAGCGGAUACGGCCGCACUUGAGCAAGCUAGGGGGCAAUGGAAUUCCUGGUGUAGCGGUGAAAUGCGCAGAUAUCAGGAAGAACACCCGUGGCGAAGGCGGCUCUCUGGGACGGUACUGACGCUGAGACGCGAAAGCGUGGGGAGCGAACAGG
rnacentral:rRNA from 1 species